rnacentral:rRNA from 1 species
AGUGAACGCUGGCGGUAGGCCUAACACGUGCAAGUCGAACGGCAGCACAGUAAGAGCUUGCUCUUACGGGUGGCGAGUGGCGGACGGGUGAGGAAUACAUCGGAAUCUACUUUUUCGUGGGGGAUAACGUAGGGAAACUUACGCUAAUACCGCAUACGACCUACGGGUGAAAGCAGGGGAUCUUCGGACCUUGCGCGAUUGAAUGAGCCGAUGUCGGAUUAGCUAGUUGGCGGGGUAAAGGCCCACCAAGGCGACGAUCCGUAGCUGGUCUGAGAGGAUGAUCAGCCACACUGGAACUGAGACACGGUCCAGACUCCUACGGGAGGCGGCAGUGGGGAAUAUUGGACAAUGGGCGCAAGCCUGAUCCAGCCAUACCGCGUGGGUGAAGAAGGCCUUCGGGUUGUAAAGCCCUUUUGUUGGGAAAGAAAAGCAGCAGGUUAAUACCCCGCUGUUCUGACGGUACCCAAAGAAUAAGCACCGGCUAACUUCGUG